rnacentral:lncRNA from 11 species
ACUGCUGUUCCUCUCAGAUAUUCCUUGAAGUUCCAUGCACAACAGCGAUGUUUUGUUAUCUUUUUCAGCCUUCAAAACCCAUUUCAUCCCAAGAGCCACAGUUCAUUCAGAUUCUUGCCCAGUUUGAUGACAGGCAGUCAUGUUGAGACUGAAAGGAGACGAUCAGGUGGAAGAACUCAGAAAAGGGAUGAGAGAGACAUACCAAGUUAAGUAUGAGAAGCCCCUAAAGCAGCCAGCUGUUAUCCCUCUCCACUCUUUAUAUUGUGUUCAUAAAACAGAGAAAGAGAUUAUUGAAAAAUUGCUGGAUUCAGAAAAGACUAAGCAAAAUAUAAAAUAUUUUCUAAUGCCAAUGUGUAUUUUAAAAGUGUUAAUUUGGGGGGGGGGGGGGUGUAGUAAAAGUACCAAUGUGUUUUUGAAUUAUGCAAACUUUUUCAUUAGACAGCCCAGUAGGAUAAAGUUUUAUUUGUGGUUGUGAGAACUGAGAUGCUUGUGUCCAAUCCUUUCCAAAUAUGUGACCAGCAUACAAGCUUUAAGUUCAUUAACCACGUUAGCCAUAAAUUAUUAGAGUUUACUUAUGCGAGUUUGGGAAAAUCACUUUUGAGCUCCUAUAUUUCCCUUGUUAGCAUGGCCAUAUUGGGGAAAGGUGAUUGAUACAGGUAGUCCUUACUGCAUUUUAAGAAGCAUUUGUCAGUUGUGAAGUGAUCAAUCUCUUUGAAAACAAUUAAAACACUAGUGUCCUUUACAUAUGACUGGAGCUGAAACUGGUUUAAAUCUUGGUAUUUAUAUUUUUCCCAUAAUGUACAACUCAUUCCACUUGCUAAAGGGGAGCAACUUGUUCUUUGUUUAUUUUUAAUCUUAAUUUUAUCUGUUUUUUUGUAGAUUACUUUUAUUUGGUAGCAGGCAUUUUACAGGUUGUGUAGUUUUCUGUUAGUGGCUGUUGUGAUACAUUAAUUUUCUCCUUCUGGCAUACUUUCUUCUGUAUAAAUUUGCAUCUAUGAGCUCAGUGAACUGAGGGCUGUACUGGCAACCCUACAUGAUCAGCCAUGACAACAUGUUCAACUGUGUGUGGAUUCAUGAUUCAGUGGAAAUCACACAGGGGCAUUAACAAAAAAUUAGGCAACCUUAAACUACUCUCCAGAUGUUUUGGGCUACAACUCUCAUCAGUAUCAGCCAACAUAGUCAGUAGUUUGGACUGUAGUCCAAAAACAUAUGGGGAAUACAAGAUUGCCUAUACCUUUUACUUAACUUUUCUUAUGGGUCAAAUAUCUAUCACACUGUCAUACUGUGCACCAUCUCAACCCCACAAAUCACAGUAGUUACAUGAGCAGAUCAUGUGUAAGGCAGGCAUUCAUUCAUGAUAUUCACAAGAUCUCCAUGUGUACUCAUGCAUGAUUAGUGGUAGGAGAGUGCUUAAUGUCAGAUUGAGGCUUACAGUUAUAAUUUGGAUCAUUCCAGUUAGAUUUCCUUCUGUCACUAUUCAUGCGUUCAACUGUUUAUAACCCUCGUUUAUGUGUACACAGUUUUGUGACUAUGUUAACUGUUUGCAGGUGGCUCAUUUUUCAACUGAUGUAGUUCCAUUGGGAUAACAAAGAUUUCAUCCAGGGAAUAAAUCACCACUUCAGGGUCCAAAGCUCCUUCUCUGGGUUUGUCUAUGGCAAAAAAUCUGUGCAAAUUGAAGCUGGAAUUUCCCUUUGCUGAACCAAAUGAACUUGAGGUA